rnacentral:rRNA from 1 species
AAUAGAUACCCGGGUAGUCCACGCCGUAAACGAUGGAUGCUAGCUAUUGGGGGGAAUCGACCCCCUCCGAAGCGAAGCUAACGCGUUAAGCAUCCCGCCUGAGUAGUACGAGCGCAAGCUUAAAACUCAAAGGAAUUGACGGGGACCCGCACAAGCGGUGGAGCGUGUGGUUUAAUUCGAUGGUAAACGAAGAACCUUACCAAGGUUUGACAUCCCGGUAGCCGUUCUCCGAAAGGAGAAUUUCAUUUAGUUGGACCGGUGACAGGUGAUGCAUGGCCGUCGUCAGCUCGUGUCGUGAGAUGUUGGGUUAAGUCCCGCAACGAGCGCAACCCUUAUGAUUUAGUUGGAUUUUUCUAAACAGACUGCCCUGGUAACAGGGAGGAAGGAGGGGAUGAUGUCAGGUCAGUAUUUCCCGUUACACCUUGGACGACACACGCGCUACAAUGGCCGGUACAAUGGGCAGCUAAGCCGCGAGGUGGAGCAAAUCCCAUCAAAGCCGGUCCCAGUUCGGAUUGCAGGCUGAAACCCGCCUACAUGAAGCCGGAAUCGCUAGUAACCAGC